CCUGCAGAGGACCUCCAUCUUGGUGCUUUGUUGUGAUUCGGCAGUUCAGGAACGUGGUGUUUGCAUUUAAUUGGAAUCCACUUCCUGGAUUAACAGUCCCAGUGAAUUUGGGGUCGCUUUUUACCAGGUGGAAGAAUUGGGAAGCUGGGCACCUGCUCCCCUCCCACAGCCCUUGGGAAGAUGGAGUGAGGAUUCUGCUGGUCCCUGGAAACUGUUCCCUAAGUUUUCUUCCCACUGUCAGACCAGCUGGGACCUGGGCACCCUCGUGCGCACCUUCCUGUGGUUCAGACCCGCCUCUGGUUUGAGGUGGCGAAGCGCUGCGGCCCCGGUGGGUGGUGGCCAGGCUGGGCUCCGUGCGCCUGCCCUGUGGUGGGUGAGGGAGCGGCUGAGUCUCAGUGGUCUGCGGCUCUGCCUUGUCUGGAGGGGACAGUGGUCUGGUCGUCUCUUGUGCCUGGGUUUCCCGGCACCUGGCUGUGCGUCCAGCCCUGUGCUCUCUGCUGCCCUCUGCAGACACACACGUGCAUCAGAAACUGUCAGUUUCAUCUUGCGAGGAGACUUUGUGGAGCUUUCUGGAGCUUUCUGUCCUCUUUCACUCUGUGCUGUCCUGCCACACACGUGCAUAUGUGGAGCUUCCUUUCCCCAUUCUCUGGCUUCCCUUUGCCUCUCCCGUGUGGAACCCUGCUUCCUGGCUCACGCCCUCCUCAGCUGCGGGGGCACCUUCUGCGAAGGCUCCCUGGGAGAGGCCUUGCCCCCACCAUGCUCCAGCAGUCUGUGCUUGGUGUGGCCCUGCUGCCCCUCGGCCCCAGCGUGCUUGUUGGGUGGUUCCACGCCACUCCGGUUCCCGAUCCUUGGGUGUGGCUGGUAUACUUUUCUCUGAAAGCCUGUAGCCCCCUUUCUUUAAUUUCAGUGUUGAGAAAUUUCACAACAUAUGAGUGUCGCAGACCCUUUCUGCCUGCAGUCUCCUGUUUUGCAGUUCUCUGGAGGCCCUGUUUCCAUUUCUCUCCCUUUCUGUCUUCUUGGUGAACUCGGCCUGCCCCACGCCGGCCUCCAGUUGUCCGUCCUUCCUUCCCACCUACUGACCUUUUUGCUUUGGGAGAACUUCCAGCGAAGUCGUGCCUUUUCUGCUUUCUUGUUUUUAAUUUCUAAGAGCUCUUUUGUUUCUGAACAUUUGUUUUUUAUAUAAUACUCCAUUCUUCACGGUUGUGGCAUCUUGUGGCAAAUAGUGGUACUUGGUUGAGCUCUUUCUCUUGGGGUCUGUUGCUUUCAGUCUGGUCUCCCUCGGAGGCUGUCCUCAGUGUCGGGCGAUCCUGCCGGGACGGUGCUGGGGACAGUGUGCUGGGUGACGUGCUGACUGUGCUUCCCGCUGGGCAACCCUUAAUUCCAGAAUCUUUCAUUAAAAUGCCCUUUUAAAUUUUUGAAAUGUACCAUUUCAGCAUAAAAAUGUAUAAAGCACACACGUGCCUUAAGGGAUGACACGGGACACCCCGGCAGGCCCCCCGCCCCGCCGGACGCCACCCGCCUGCCUGCUUUCUGGUGCCCUCCCAGCUCCUCCCCGGAGGUCGCUCUGAGAGGCUGCUCCAACCUUGCUCAGCGCACCACAGUCAGAUGGAGGCCUGGAAGAGAGACUGAGCGGAGUCUUUGGGUCUCUGGCUUUGCCUCCUGAGAGUCUGUAGGAGCCACUUGGAGGCUACUCCGGAGCAGGACCCGUCCGCCACAGAGUGAGCGCGUGAGCCAGCAGUCCCACUGCCAGGCGUCCACCCAGGGGACCUGAAAGCCUGUGUCCACACCGAGACCUGUAUACCAGUGUUCACAGUGGCAUCGUCCGUGUGGCUAAAAGGCGGAAGCAACCCAGGUGUCCCCCGGCCCGUGGGCGGACUAGCAGAACAUGGUGUCUGGACGGAGGGUUAUGCAGCCAUGACAGGGAACGAAGCCGCGGAGGAGCCUCAGAAACACUGUGCCCAGUGACAGGGCCAGACAUCGCAGGCCGCGUGUCCGUGAUUCCUUUAUUACGAAACGUCCAGCAAGGGCGAAUCCACAGGGAUAGAAGGCUGGAAUGCAGUGGCUCCAUCACAGCUCAC